GCAGCGAUGACUCUACAGCCCAUGAUUUCCGCAGCCCACGAUUGGCUGGGGCACAGCGAUAAGAAUUCAACCUAAUGGGCACCUCACCUCCCACCUGCUUGGUACGCAGAGCAGAGAAUGGGGAGUCCCAUACACUUCCUUUCGGGCUUCUUCAUAUUGUCUCCCUAAAAAUCUCCGAUUGGACACAGGUCAGUUACCAAAAGGCAAAGAAAAACCUCCUGCAGUGUGAUUGCUUCUCCUAUCAGAAUUCCAUCUUGAAAACCUGAAAGUCAAACCUGAUAAAUGAUGUAGACAUAUCAAGAAAAGCCAAGAGGACAGAAUCAAGCUAUACUGGAGGAAAACGUUGCUUCUCUAGACUUUUAAAAUAAAUAUUUCAGCAUCAGACCAUGACAGCAGUUAAGGCAAGAGGGAAAAAAAAAUACAGGAACUGACAAAGUUGAAGGAGAUAGUUUCAUUUCAGGUUCCUUCAAGGGGAGACAAGCUGACAGCAACAAAACGCAAGAAAGCUGCACUUUGGAGAUAUAGAUCUGAGAAGUAUUCAAAAAGUAACAGAUUAUAGAGUCAAAAUCAAAACCUCUCGUCCAAUCAAUAUUUUAAGAAAACCUUGUUCUAACCCAGGAGACUAAUCUAUAUCUCUCUCCCCUAGUUACUGGAUCCUUUCUACCCUGUUUCAUAAACAACCUAAGUCCAUAAUUUGAAUUAACCUUUAGAUAACUUCUGAGUUAAACAAAAUUAUUUCUUUAAUCAAUAAGAACACAUCUUCUUUGGCACAUUGUACAUGGAAUCAUACAAUUUGCUGGAAUUCUUAUUCUUAGUAAUUCUAAAUUUUAAUGGAAACCUAGGAAGCAAGAAAUCCUGGGCUGUCUAUCAGACAUUAACAUUUUAUAGAUGAGAAACAUGAAUGUUCUCAGGCCCAGAAACCUCAAGUUAUUUUGGGACCUCAAGAAAAGAGGAAUUCACCCAAUUCAUACAGGUAUCUGCAAGCACAGAUCAAUUCUCGGUUGUGCUCAAGAGGCCUUCAAAAAUCAAAUCUGAGAUUCCUUAUGAAAAGUUCCAGCAAAGCCAAUUUUAAAAAGCCUAUAUGAACAAUAAUUCUUGCUUCAGUUUAGGCAAAUAAUCAGGCAAACUAUAAUAAGAUUAAAACAGAUUUUGCAAAUAAAUUGGUCCUACUGUGAUUUGCCUUUCAUGGAAAUGGGGAGCUGGAGAGAGAAACAUUAUGUUUUGGAAGAAAACUGUAGUACACCUGUUAUUAGAUUAAUCUUUGACCUAUGGCAACCUGGUCACCCAUGGUAUGGAGAUACAUCUGUGCUGUGCUGCAUUCAGUUAUUAAAAGUAUAAGUUACCAGUGGAAUUUAGAUAUGGAUUCAUCACCUCAGAAGUUGGUUCACUGGAU
rnacentral:lncRNA from 1 species